rnacentral:rRNA from 1 species
AGCAGCCGCGGUAAUUCCAGCUCCAAUAGCGUAUAUUAAAGUUGUUGCAGUUAAAAAGCUCGUAGUUGAAUUUCGGGAUUGGCGCAUCGGCCGUGCCUCACGGGGUAUGAACUGGUGCAGUCAAUUUCUCACCUUCUGGAGAACCGCGAUGUCCUUAAUUGGAUGCCGCGGGGAACCAGGACCUUUACUUUGAAAAAUUAGAGUGUUUAAAGCAGGCAUUUUUGCUUGAAUACAUUAGCAUGGAAUAAUAAAAUAGGACGGCAUGGUUCUAUUUUGUUGGUUUCUAGGACCACCGUAAUGAUUAAUAGGGAUAGUUGGGGGCAUUAGUAUUCAAUUGUCAGAGGUGAAAUUCUUGGAUUUAUUGAAGACUAACUACUGCGAAAGCAUUUGCCAAGGAUGUUUUCAUUAAUCAAGAACGAAAGUUAGGGGAUCGAAGACGAUCAGAUACCGUCGUAGUCUUGACCAUAAACUAUGCCGACUAGGAAUCAGACGAUGUUAAUUUUUUAAUGUACCCGUUUGG